ACUCACGUGAAUGCAGAUUAAAGUAAUUUCAUGCUCGGCUUGGCUUAUUUCCAAUAAUAAUGUCACUCAAUUCUCGCACAAUUAAUCGAAGCCUAUUAAUAGUAAGUCGCUUAUAAAUAAUGACAGAAUCAGAUGCUGCCACGACCGGACGGCGAUCCCAAAAAUUCAACUUUAUAAAUGACAAUGACAUCGAAAUAUUCUAUGGAAGAGUCACGCGAUAAUUGCUCCAACCGGAAGGAAGCCUCGCACGCUACGCUCGCCGGAAGUUACUUCCGUGUUGUCGAUAAUAAACAAAAAUCCUCCUCUCGUACUCGAUCAUUAGCAUUCGACUAUGAAUAAAGUUACAAUUUUUUUUAGAAACGAAUGUUUUUUCAAAGGCAGCAAACCAGAGACGGUUUUGAAAGAGCAGGAAAAAAUCAUUUUUCUAUCCACACGAACUGAACAAUUUUUCUGCACCAAAGUCUUCAUGAGUCUCGGAACCUCUCUGUAAAUUUAAUCGAAAGGUUCUUCAAAAAUUAAGGACCCGUAUUUCGACAUCGUGAGUGUCCUAACAACAUAUGCGCGCACGUUUUUACCGAGGGCAGGGGAGCGAGGGGAAUUCGGUAAGAGACAAACGAGACGAACUCGACUCGUCGAGAACUGUGUAAUGGAGUAACAUCAGUACCAAUGAUGACCGACGGGGAAUGGUCAAUUUUAUAAAUCAUAUAAUGAGAAUUGGCUCUGUGUGCUGGAUGCGAUAUGGCGACAUGCGGGUGGCCGUUACACAUGCGUUACGCUUUAAUGGUCGAACGAGAGAGAAGGACCCUCGAGACGAGCGAGCGAUAGGGACCCUUCAGGUUCGCCAUCUCGAAACGAACCGCUUGAGAAACUCUGCAGGCCCCCGAGGAUCGAAAAAUAGGAAUCGAUAUCCAAAAAUCUAUGAGACCGUAACUGUUUGGAAUUUCCCACGAUGGAUUGGAGCUGGGAAGGCUUGAGAGGUUGGGGAUCGAUUAACCGAGGUCGCUUUUGAUCGACGAAAAAUGGCGAGCCGGAAAGCCAAUUCGGUUGAAAACCGUUGUAGAAAUCUUCGAAAAAUUGCUGAAAUACGAAUCCGAGGAAUUUCGUUUCAAUAAUUUCUCGAAUGUGCGAGUUUUAUGAGCCCUCGAAAAAGGCGAAUGGGAUUGGGACACGAUCGCGUUUGGAAAGAUGGAAAAGAAGACGCCGGAGUUCUCGUGAUUGCGAGUCGUUCGUCGUCCACCCGAGCGUUUGUACGUCCCUACACACGAUGUACGUAACAGAGAAAGAAA